GUGUGUAUUUAAUGAAAUCGUACUGGCCUGCAAAAUCCCAAAUGGAGUGGAAACGAUGCCAACUGUUUUCCUGGAGAACAACAGACAAGAAAAGUAAACCUGGCGUCUUCACAAGGACUUAUCUUCUUAGUUUAUUAUUUAUAAAUUUAUUUAUUUGUUGCCUCUGUAAUGCUUUUUAAUGUUCUUUGGCCAUUAACACACCCUUAUGAAUCUAAAUGUUAACUUGUACAAAUAAAUUACCUUGAUUGAUUUUUCUGUAAAUUUGAGUUUCUAUGAAACUAUUUUAUCGUACUACUAUAUUUACAACAGCUUUCGUUUUUUAUCGGUUGAUAACACUGACAGGCAUUCAGCCAUACAUUUUAUUUUCAAUGCCAGCAAAAUGUAUUUCUACUUCCUAGUAAGACAUUUUUAAAUUUGGAUCAUUUUUAGUUUCUUCUUACCAUUAAAAACAUGGGUCAUAGGAACGUUAUACAACGCGAACUCCUUUCCUUUAAGUUGAAUUAAAAUAUUUUGUAUUUUAUAGCUUUAUAGAGGAUUAAACUAUCCUUUGUGAAUCGUGCUUUUUUAAAUUAAAAAUAUACUGAGGACCGCAUUUUAUACUGCAAUAAAUUUUGCCUUCGGGCAACACACGUUAAUAUUUCUAUUCAAUUUUUAAAAAAGUAUAAUUUCUCUGAAAAUAUUAAUGAAAACAUGGAUUUGUCAAUAGUUCAUUCUGAAAUUACACACAAAAAAGUGUAAGAGAGAUAACUCCUCCAGAAACUUUUACUAUGGACAAAAAAUACAAAAUAAUAUGCCGUAAAACUGUUAUCAGGUUGUGCUGACUUCGUUUUUUU